rnacentral:lncRNA from 1 species
CCCAAACUAAUUAAAUACAGCCCAUAUGAAGGAAAAUAAGGGCAGCUCAUACUACUUAAAAUAGAGGCCCAAAAGCUCAUCCUCAAUCGGGCCCAGCUUAACUCCUAAUUGCAGCCCAUCAUAACAUACUCUCAGCCCAAACACCAGCUUGCCCAAACACCAAAUUAAUUCACGCUGAACUCCUUUUCUUCAAGGUUUCAAGCAGAGAACCAAGAUCGGCGGUGUACUCCAGCCAGCCGUUGUCGCCUCCACGCCGAACCGCCGCCGCUCUGAAAUUCCGGUGGGGCCUCCCCUCCGACUCACUCUCCCCCUCACAAUCUCUUCCUCUUAAUUCCUCAAUCCAGACUACCCUUUUCUUCUAAAUUUCGUGCCCUAGCUCUUCUUCCUCAGAAAUCAGCUGCCGCCGUCACUGAAGAAUCGGCGAACAAUCGCCGCUGCGUGUCGGAACUCGUCCGCAAAUCACCGCGGCGUACAGCUCCUCCGCUGUGUUGUCACGCCCUCGACCCUGGCCUCGAAUGCUGCCGCUCUGUCUCGCUAGCACCUUUGCCGCCGCCCUAAAAUCGGCGAGGUCGCCGUGCUCCCCUCCCUGUGUUCGUCCGGCGGGUAGCAAGCCAGAGGCUGCCACCGCCAAGCGGGCA